rnacentral:rRNA from 1 species
UGGUGGAGUGAUUUGUCUGGUUAAUUCCGUUAACGAACGAGACCUCGACCUGCUAAAUAGUUCGGCUCACACUUCGGUGUGAGUAAAUUGACGUGACUUCUUAGAGGGACUAUCGGUGUGUAGCCGAUGGAAGUUCGAGGCAAUAACA